rnacentral:rRNA from 1 species
CCUGGGAAUGGCGUUUUGAACUGGCAGUCUAGAGUGCGUCAGAGGGGGGUGGAAUUCCACAUGUAGCAGUGAAAUGCGUAGAGAUGUGGAGGAACACCGAUGGCGAAGGCAGCCCCCUGGGAUGACACUGACGCUCAUGUACGAAAGCGUGGGUAGCAAACAGGAUUAGAUACCCUGGUAGUCCACGCCCUAAACGAUGUCAACUGGUUGUUGGGGGAGUGAAAUCCCUUUAGUAACGAAGCUAACGCGUGAAGUUGACCGCCUGGGCAGUACGGUCGCAAGAUUAAAACUCAAAGGAAUUGACGGGGACCCGCACAAGCGGUGGAUGAUGUGGAUUAAUUCGAUGCAACGCGAAAAACCUUACCUACCCUUGACAUGUCCGGAAUCCUGCAGAGAUGCGGGAGUGCCCGAAAGGGAAUCGGAACACAGGUGCUGCAUGGCUGUCGUCAGCUCGUGUCGCGAGAUGUUGGGUUAAGUCCCGCAACGAGCGCAACCCUUAUCAUUAGUUGCUACGCAAGGGCACUCUAAUGAGACUGCCGGUGACAAAGCGGAGGAAGGUGGGGAUGACGUCAAGUCCUCAUGGCCCUUAUGGGUAGGGCUUCACACGUCAUACAAUGGUCGGUACAGAGGGUUGCCAAGCCGCGAGGUGGAGCCAAUCCCAGAAAGCCGAUCGUAGUCCGGAUUGUUCUCUGCAACUCGAGAGCAUGAAGUCGGAAUCGCUAGUAAUCGCGGAUCAGCAUGUCGCGGUGAAUACGUUCCCGGGUCUUGUACACACCGCCCGUCCCCCCCAUGGGAACUGGAGAGAG